rnacentral:lncRNA from 1 species
GCCCCGCCGGGCACCGCGGCCUCCCGGCACCCCGGGGCUCCCGGGCUUUGGGCGCCUUCUCCCUGCGGGGAGGUCCAGGCAUCCAGGGAUUCCUGCCAAUAGAUGCACUCUUCAUAACACACUGCUUACCAGCUUUGCAUGUCACUCUGUCCCUUCACCUGGUUCAAGGCUGUGAAAAACUAGAAGACUAGAGCUAACAGCUCCUGCUGGCUUACUAGGCAAAUCUGGCUCACACAAUUUUUUUACUAACUGUUUUCAAUGGCAGUCAUUCAGCCAUGGAUUUUCCAGCAAUAACAAGACUUGAAGUUGUGCAGAUUCAUAGUUUCCUACU